rnacentral:rRNA from 1 species
AUUAGAUACCCUGGUAGUCCACGCAGUAAACGAUGAACACUAAUUGUCCGGCGGGACUGACCGCUGGGUGAUACAGCGAAAGCGUUAAGUGUUCCACCUGGGGAGUACGCCGGCAACGGUGAAACUCAAAGGAAUUGACGGGGGCCCGCACAAGCGGAGGAACAUGUGGUUUAAUUCGAUGAUACGCGAGGAACCUUACCCGGGCUCAAACGCAACGCGGACAUUUCGGAAACGGGAUGGCCAGCAAUGGCGCGUUGCGAGGUGCUGCAUGGUUGUCGUCAGCUCGUGCCGUGAGGUGUCGGCUUAAGUGCCAUAACGAGCGCAACCCCCACCGCCAGUUGCCAACAGGUAAAGCUGGGAACUCUGGCGGGACUGCCGGCGCAAGCUGCGAGGAAGGCGGGGACGACGUCAAAUCAGCACGGCCCUUACGUCCGGGGCGACACACGUGUUACAAUGGCGUCCACAGCGGGAAGCCAGGCGGCGACGCCGAGCGGAACCCGAAAAGCGCCUCAGUUCGGAUUGGAGUCUGCAACCCGACUCCAUGAAGCUGGAUUCGCUAGUAAUCGCGCAUCAGCCACGGCGCGGUGAAUACGUUUCCCGGCCUUGUACACCCGCCCGUCAGCCCUUGGAACCGGGAUGCCUGAAUGCCCGGCGCAAGGACCCCCUAGGCAAACUGGGACUGGGCUUANCCUAACGGUANCCCAUUUCCNCCACUUGCGGCGUCCUANUGAAUCGACACAAA